rnacentral:lncRNA from 1 species
AAUGGAAUACUACUCAGCCAUAAAAAGAAUGAAAAUAGUGCCAUUCGCAGCAACAUGGAUGAACCUAGAGAUUAAUAUAGGUUCUUACUAGGCGAAGUAAGUCAGAAAGAGAAAGGCAAACAUACGCUAUUACUUAAAUGUAGAAUCUAAAAUGUGACACAUAUGAGCUUAUCUAUGAAACACAAACAGACUCACAAACAUAGAGAACAGACUUGUGAUUCCCAAGGAGGAGGAGGGGCAGGGGAGGGAUGAAUUGGGAGUUUGGGAUUAGUAGAUGCAAAGCAUUUUAUAUAGAAUGGAUAAACAACAAGGACCUACUGUAUAGCACAAGGAGCUAUAUUUAAUAUCCUAUAAUAAACCAUAAGGGGAAAAAUAUAUUCUCUUUGUUUGGGGAGAGGGGCGCACCCGAGGCAUAUGGAGGUCCCCAGGCUAGAGGUCAAAUUGGAGCUGUAGCUGCCAGCCUGUACCAGAGCCACAGCAACACAGGAUCCGAGCUGCAUCUGCAACCUACACCAUGGCUAACGGCAAUGCCAGAUCCUUGACCCACUCUGGGAGACCAGGGGUCGAACCUGCAUCCUCAUGGAUACUAGUUGGGUUCCUUAACUGCUGAGCCACCAUGGGAACUCCAGGGGCUAUAGGACCACUUUCCUGUGUCCCAUUGUCUGUGUCUCUCUACUCAGCUGAUGUGAGAGUUAGACAGACCUCGCUGUCAAUCACCACUGAGGUCUUUUCUCUCAGCCGUGGCAUUUCCAGGCCCAAGUAUCAAAAGUCAGGCUGACAGCCCUGGCAGCUUGGGGAAAGAGCGCAAGAGGCUUUUUAACAGGCUUAAGCCCUGGUUUUGACAUGCAAUCUCAGCUAAGCAACAGCUGGGUGGCUAUAGACCAGACUCAAACAUCUGCCUUCUUCUCUAGGUAUUAGCACAAGCUUCUUUGCUAAUACUAUUAUUAAGGAAUUAUCAGUAUUUUGCAAGUGCUGUCUCUUCCUAAAACGAUGGCUAAAGUCAUACAGGACAGGACCUCAGUAGUCAAGACACAACAAGGCAAGGUCUUAUUCUCACCUCUCCUCUCCUCUCAAGGUCAUUAUACUGAUCUGAUUAUCUUAAGGAAGCAAAUUCUGGUUUCAAAAGCCACCUCUGCUCUGUCUUUGCACUAACUCACUUAGAGGCUUUAACCCAGAGUCUAGCAGAAAUGAAUCCAACUAGGAACCAUGAGGUUGUGGGUUAGAUCCCUGGCCUCACUCAGUGGGCUAAGGAUCUGGUGUUGCCCUGAUCUGUGGUGUAGGUCGCAGACGCAGCUUAGAUCUGGCAUUGCUGUGGCUGUGGUAUAGGACGGUGGCUACAGCUCCAAUAAGACCCCUAGCCUAGGAACCUCCACAUGCCACGGGUAUGGCC